CACGCCCUAAACGAUGUACACUAGUUGUUGUGAGACUUGAUCUUGCAGUAAUGCAGUUAACACAUUAAGUGUACCGCCUGGGGAGUACGGUCGCAAGAUUAAAACUCAAAGGAAUAGACGGGGACCCGCACAAGCGGUGGAUGAUGUGGUUUAAUUCGAUGCAACGCGAAAAACCUUACCCACCUUUGACAUGUACGGAAUCCUUUAGAGAUAGAGGAGUGCUCGAAAGAGAGCCGUAACACAGGUGC
rnacentral:rRNA from 1 species